UACGAAGGGGGGCUAGCGUUGCUCGGAAUUACUGGGCGUAAAGGGCGCGUAGGCGGAUGUCUAAGUUGGGGGUGAAAGCCCGGGGCUCAACCUCGGAAUAGCCUUCAAUACUGGAUAUCUUGAGUUCGGGAGAGGUGAGUGGAAUGCCGAGUGUAGAGGUGAAAUUCGUAGAUAUUCGGCGGAACACCAGUGGCGAAGGCGACUCACUGGCCCGAUCUGACGCCUGAGGCGCGAA
rnacentral:rRNA from 1 species